CGAAGUGGUUGAUGCCAUGCUUCCAAGAAAAGCUUCUAAGCUUCAGGUAACCAGGAACCGUACCCCAAACCGACACAGGUGGUUGGGUAGAGAAUACCAAGGCGCUUGAGAGAACUCGGGUGAAGGAACUAGGCAAAAUGGCACCGUAACUUCGGGAGAAGGUGCGCCGGUGAGGGUGAAGGACUUGCUCCGUAAGCUCAUGCCGGUCGAAGAUACCAGGCCGCUGCGACUGUUUAUUAAAAACACAGCACUCUGCAAACACGAAAGUGGACGUAUAGGGUGUGACGCCUGCCCGGUGCCGGAAGGUUAAUUGAUGGGGUUAGCUAACGCGAAGCUCUUGAUCGAAGCCCCGGUAAACGGCGGCCGUAACUAUAACGGUCCUAAGGUAGCGAAAUUCCUUGUCGGGUAAGUUCCGACCUGCACGAAUGGCGUAACGAUGGCGGCGCUGUCUCCACCCGAGACUCAGUGAAAUUGAAAUCGCUGUGAAGAUGCAGUGUAUCCGCGGCUAGACGGAAAGACCCCGUGAACCUUUACUAUAGCUUUGCACUGGACUUUGAAUUUGCUUGUGUAGGAUAGGUGGGAGGCUUUGAAGCGUGGACGCCAGUCUGCGUGGAGCCAACCUUGAAAUACCACCCUGGCAACUUUGAGGUUCUAACUCAGGUCCGUUAUCCGGAUCGAGGACAGUGUAUGGUGGGUAGUUUGACUGGGGCGGUCUCCUCCUAAAGAGUAACGGAGGAGUACGAAGGUGCGCUCAGACCGGUCGGAAAUCGGUCGUAGAGUAUAAAGGCAAAAGCGCGCUUGACUGCGAGACAGACACGUCGAGCAGGUACGAAAGUAGGUCUUAGUGAUCCGGUGGUUCUGUAUGGAAGGGCCAUCGCUCAACGGAUAAAAGGUACUCCGGGGAUAACAGGCUGAUACCGCCCAAGAGUUCAUAUCGACGGCGGUGUUUGGCACCUCGAUGUCGGCUCAUCACAUCCUGGGGCUGAAGCCGGUCCCAAGGGUAUGGCUGUUCGCCAUUUAAAGUGGUACGCGAGCUGGGUUUAGAACGUCGUGAGACAGUUCGGUCCCUAUCUGCCGUGGACGUUUGAGAUUUGAGAGGGGCUGCUCCUAGUACGAGAGGACCGGAGUGGACGAACCUCUGGUGUUCCGGUUGUCACGCCAGUGGCAUUGCCGGGUAGCUAUGUUCGGAAUAGAUAACCGCUGAAAGCAUCUAAGCGGGAAACUAGCCUCAAGAUGAGAUCUCACUGGGACCUUGAGUCCCCUGAAGGGCCGUCGAAGACUACGACGUUGAUAGGUUGGGUGUGUAAGCGCUGUGAGGCGUUGAGCUAACCAAUACUAAUUGCCCGUGAGGCUUGACCAU
rnacentral:rRNA from 1 species